GUAUAACUUUAAAAUACAUCAUCUGAUUGCAACUCAGCCACUUUAAUUAAGCUAAAAUCUCCUAGGUAAG
rnacentral:tRNA from 1 species